rnacentral:rRNA from 1 species
UGGGGGAUAUUGCACAAUGGGCGCAAGCCUGAUGCAGCGACGCCGCGUGAGCGAAGAAGUAUUUCGGUAUGUAAAGCUCUAUCAGCAGGGAAGAAAAUGACGGUACCUGACUAAGAAGCCCCGGCUAAAUACGUGCCAGCAGCCGCGGUAAUACGUAUGGGGCAAGCGUUAUCCGGAAUUACUGGGUGUAAAGGGAGCGUAGGCGGCAAGGCAAGUCUGAUGUGAAAACCCAGGGCCCAACCCUGGGACUGCAUUGGAAACUGUCUUGCUUGAGUACCGGAGAGGCAGGCGGAAUUCCUAGUGUAGCGGUGAAAUGCGUAGAUAUUAGGAGGAACACCAGUGGCGAAGGCGGCCUGCUGGACGGUAACUGACGCUGAGGCUCGAAAGCGUGGGGAGCAAACAGG